CAUGCAGUCGAGCGGGGUUUUCGGACCUAGCGGCGGACGGGUGAGUAAUGCGUAGGAAGCUGCCCGAUAGAGGGGGAUACCAGUUGGAAACGACUGUUAAUACCGCAUAAUGUCUACGGACCAAAGUGUGGGACCUUCGGGCCACAUGCUAUCGGAUGCGCCUACGUGGGAUUAGCUAGUUGGUGAGGUAAUGGCUCACCAAGGCGACGAUCUCUAGCUGGUUUGAGAGGAUGAUCAGCCACACUGGAACUGAGACACGGUCCAGACUCCUACGGGAGGCAGCAGUGGGGAAUAUUGGACAAUGGGCGCAAGCCUGAUCCAGCCAUGCCGCGUGUGUGAAGAAGGCCUUCGGGUUGUAAAGCACUUUCAGCGAGGAGGAAGGGUGGUGUGUUAAUAGCACAUCAUUUUGACGUUACUCGCAGAAGAAGCACCGGCUAACUCUGUGCCAGCAGCCGCGGUAAUACAGAGGGUGCAAGCGUUAAUCGGAAUUACUGGGCGUAAAGCGCACGUAGGCGGUUUUUUAAGUCAGAUGUGAAAGCCCCGGGCUCAACCUGGGAAUUGCAUUUGAAACUGGGGAACUAGAGUGUGUGAGAGGGGGGUAGAAUUCCAAGUGUAGCGGUGAAAUGCGUAGAGAUUUGGAGGAAUACCAGUGGCGAAGGCGGCCCCCUGGCACAACACUGACGCUCAGGUGCGAAAGCGUGGGGAGCAAACAGGAUUAGAUACCCUGGUAGUCCACGCCGUAAACGAUGUCUACUAGCUGUUCGUGUCCUUGUGAUGUGAGUAGCGCAGCUAACGCACUAAGUAGACCGCCUGGGGAGUACGGUCGCAAGAUUAAAACUCAAAUGAAUUGACGGGGGCCCGCACAAGCGGUGGAGCAUGUGGUUUAAUUCGACGCAACGCGAAGAACCUUACCUACUCUUGACAUCUACGGAAGACUGCAGAGAUGCGGUUGUGCCUUCGGGAACC
rnacentral:rRNA from 1 species